GGGCCUCACUUGGAAAGCAUUCAGUUGGUCGUAUUGACUGAGUGCUUACUGGGUGCACAGCACUGUGCUAAACGCUUGGAAAGCACAGUCCAGCAACAGAGACAGUCCCUGCCCACUCCACCCUGCACCUCUCUGGGAGAGGUACCAGGCAUCACUCAAUAGUUGCCUGCAUGAAACUUUUCAGUAACCAUGCGACAGAAGCAAGUCUGCCCUUGGAUGUCAUCCUAAAAAUAGAGGAGGGCCCAACUUCAACGGGAAUGGCAAGUAUCUCUUUCCUGUGUUGUGCAAAACCAGGUUGUUGUAACCGGUUUGAUGACAGUUUUCAAGGAUCCAGGCCACCUCCUCAUGCUGCAGUCAAGCAGUAAGAGAGGAGUCCUCACCUCUGAGAAAACAUCCAAGCUGACGUUAUCCACACUUUUCACCCACAAAGGU
rnacentral:lncRNA from 1 species